AUGACUGGGCGCUGUGUGGUGGCUGAGCAGCAGGGGAGUCAGGCCCUCCCAGAGACCGAUGGAGCCUUUCUAGAGCUCGUGGAAGGCUCAGGACCCCACGGGUCUUGCCAGGUCAGGAGCUCUAGUGUGGCUCAGGUGGGCACAGGUGCGGCCGGGAAGCUGCCGGGGCCUUGUGGAGAACGUGGGACACAGGCAGAGCCACUCCUGCACCCACACACCCUACUGUUUUUGACCACACACCUGGGGCAGGGGCCUAGACCCGUCCGGGACUCACCGGGGGCUGCCCCACCGAGUCUCCAGAACCUCCCCAAGAGCCAAGGUUGGACCUGCCCCCGAGAGGUGUCACUCACGUGCCCUGCAGGUGUCAAGGGCAGGACCUCGAGGGGAGUGACUUGGUCACGGAGACACGCUACCGGACACACACAAGUUAACCGAGGAGAGGUUUAUCUCGGCUCGCACUUGGGAGAGGUUUCAGUGCCUAGUCAGCAGCUCGAAGGCAGCGCGGCAUGGCAGAGGGGCCUGGCAGACAGAAAGCAGAGUCCAGGGAGCAGAGGCAGUGAGAUGAAGGCUUCCGGGCCCUGAACCAGGCGAUUUGUCUCAGCCCAGAUCCCACCUCCUGACAACCCAGGUGUACCACGCCCAUGAGGCCAUCACCUCCCAGAGGCGGCUUGUGAGUGCGUGAGGCUCUGCGGACAGGUAGCUCUAAACUGUCCCCAAGGGAGGGGGAUGGGAGGGUGACCUUGGGGGCAGGAGGAGGGGCGCGCAUCCCUGCAGGUCAGCUUCCCAAGCUGGAGCUCUCUCCUCCUGGGACCAGAGCAGGCGGGGCGUGCAGUGACACCGAGCGGCCACCGGAGGGCAGCAGAGCCCUGCGCUGAGAUCCCGCACUCAGGUUGCCAGGGGAAAGAGAACAUGUUCGUAUAUUCGUGCUUAUUUCUACCACCUUAUUCUGUCUUCCUCUCUGUCUUGCUUCCUCGAAGUAGGCUGGAAGCUUUUCGUUAUUUCUUCAGAAGUAAUUCACCUCACUGUUUCUUUUUCAGAGAGAGAGAGAGAGAGAAUAGGUCUUGCUCCGUGUCCGAGAUCUGAGAUUGCUGGGAAGCACCACCACACCUGACUUUUCCUUUUCUCUUGCAGUUAGGAGUGAUGUAUCUGGUCUCUGGUUUUUCCGUAGUGACCUUAGAUAUCACACCCUGAACUUUUGCUUGUUAAAUGUAGGUCUUUAAAUUUCUUGAUUAACUUUUGUUUGGAAGAGGUUUAGCUUCCAGGAAAACCGAGAGAAUGCUGGCCUGGCACAGCUCCGAGCAAGGGCGGGCGGGGACCUGGGCUCCCCAGAGGGCGGAGCAUCUCCAACAAGCACUCCUUACUCCUCUGCCUAGGAGGACCCUGCCCUUUCCCGGUUAUCUGAUGGUUUGUUCCUGGGGCCACAGUGACGCCCCGCUGGGAUCCUUGCCCUGAGGGCUCCGCUGGGCGCCUGAGCUGAGCUCGGCAGUGGCACAGGGGGGUCUCAAGUGAGCUGUUCGCCGCCCUGGCGCUCUGCCUUCCUGUGGCCCAGGGCCUUCCGCGCUUCCUUCCUUGUCCCGAAGGCCUCUCUCAGGGACCCCGGUGGCUGCGCCGAGCUGACAGGGAGAGUGCAUUCUGCGCCGCGCUGGUCCCGGCUUCCUCCCUUCCUGUUCGCCCGCGCUCUGAGCCGCUCUCCUGGCUUCCACACGGUCCUCUGCGUGGCAGUGUCCCCGCUGUCCUGGUCCGGGAGGAGGCCUGUAGGGGGGCCGCCUCUGCUGGGCUUCUGCGCCGCGGAAGCUCCUCGCUCCCCUGGGUGCGGAAGGGCAGAGCGCGCAGUGAGCCCGCGCGGUGACCUUGGCCCCUGAGGUGCUGGGUCCCAGGCUGUGCCGGUGGUUCCAGCCCGGUCUGGCCAAGCCCCUGGAAGCACCGGGUCCCACCUGUGGAGUAGCCCAUUUCCGCCUCACGGUUCCGCGAGUGUGGACACUGACGAGCCUGGAGCUGGGGCUAGUUUAGUGCAUGGUGAUAGGUAUGGGUCUAGUUUGAAUCUUUGCCAGGUUAAAAUCCAGUUGUUUCAGCACCAUUUAUUAAAUAGGCUAUCUUUCCGGGAGGAGUGUUUUAGUAAAACUCAAAGAAGCUUAGAUCACAUGACAGCACCCACCACACCACAUGACCUAGGAGUCGAGGUCAGGCUCCCCAUGACAAGGAGGCACUAGGGAUCAUGGAACAUCUUAGAAAAGAGCCUACAGUCCCAAGAGCUGACGGAGGAAAAGAGGCAGAUUGGAGAUGUCCAGAGGAAAUUGCCAGCACCCUCUUACCACUUAGCUUGGCCACCCGGAUGCAGUGCUCCACCACCCUGGCCCUGUCUCCAGCCCUCGUGCUGGGACCCCCAAAGCAGGAGGUGAUCGUGCAGUUGGCCACCUGAUUAAAAUAUGUGAUAGUGGCCCGAACGGUGGGCGCCAGAGGUUCUUUGCCCCUUUUGUUUCUCCGGGUCCAGAUGGAGCCCAGGCAGUCCCAGGGCACCACAUUCUUGAACAGCUCCUGUGGAGGAAGACAGCAUCCCACGGGCAGAACCCACCCCAGAGAGUCGAUGGCUUCAGCCAUCCACAGGCAGGUGGCCGUGGCCUGAGCUGGAGAUCAGGAAGCUGCAGAUAUGGACAGAGACUUCUGCAAAGAGCUGGUUUUCCUCCACUGCCCACUAGUGAUGUCCAACUCAUGACCUAGGACCUAGCACUGACGUGAAAAUCAGUGGCAUUGUCCCCGUGCCCAUCCUCCCAAACCUCCAGCAUGAGCAGGCAACUCAGUCCCGCUCAUUCUGAGGUAUUGUCUUCUUUCCAACCUCACCUGCCCUCUGCUCCUUUGCCCAGGUCAGUGGCACAUUUCCUGGGACAGCUAGGACUGGGGGCUCUGUGCGGGUGUGUGCUGUAGAACCCAUGAAUCUCAAAUGCCUACAAAGUGAUAAGGCUGGCCAGGUCUCCUGGGAUGAUGGCAAGGUGACACAUGGUCCUGCAUGCACCUCAGUGCACACUCUCCUCUGCUAGUUGGUCUCAGGCCCUGCCCUUUUUCCCAAUUGUCCAAUCUCAGUUGACAUCAUCAUCACUGUUUGCAGUGGGCAUGUGAGUGCCCUGCAUCUACUGUUGACCUGCACCCAAGGACAGGAGUGCCUUGGGCCUGAGAGACAAGUAUAGGUGAUGCAGUUGGUAGAAGAAGGAACUUUGAUCUGGUCAACUGGGAACGUCAGGCCUGAGAAGAUCAGUGCGAGAAGGAUGGGUGUCCCCCGCCCCACCCCACCCCACCCCACCG
rnacentral:lncRNA from 1 species